UAGGGAAUCUUCGGCAAUGGGGGGAACCCUGACCGAGCAACGCCGCGUGAGUGAAGAAGGUUUUCGGAUCGUAAAGCUCUGUUGUUAAGGAAGAACGAGUGUGAGAAUGGAAAGUUCAUACUGUGACGGUACUUAACCAGAAAGGGACGGCUAACUACGUGCCAGCAGCCGCGGUAAUACGUAGGUCCCGAGCGUUGUCCGGAUUUAUUGGGCGUAAAGCGAGCGCAGGCGGUUAGAUAAGUCUGAAGUUAAAGGCAGUGGCUCAACCAUUGUAGGCUUUGGAAACUGUUUCACUUGAGUGCAGAAGGGGAGAGUGGAAUUCCAUGUGUAGCGGUGAAAUGCGUAGAUAUAUGGAGGAACACCGGUGGCGAAAGCGGCUCUCUGGUCUGUAACUGACGCUGAGGCUCGAAAGCGUGGGGAGCGAACAGG
rnacentral:rRNA from 1 species